UUAAAUUGAAGAGUUUGAUCAUGGCUCAGAUUGAACGCUGGCGGCAGGCCUAACACAUGCAAGUCGAACGGUAACAGGAAGAAGCUUGCUUCUUUGCUGACGAGUGGCGGACGGGUGAGUAAUGUCUGGGAAACUGCCUGAUGGAGGGGGAUAACUACUGGAAACGGUAGCUAAUACCGCAUAACGUCGCAAGACCAAAGAGGGGGACCUUCGGGCCUCUUGCCAUCGGAUGUGCCCAGAUGGGAUUAGCUAGUAGGUGGGGUAACGGCUCACCUAGGCGACGAUCCCUAGCUGGUCUGAGAGGAUGACCAGCCACACUGGAACUGAGACACGGUCCAGACUCCUACGGGAGGCAGCAGUGGGGAAUAUUGCACAAUGGGCGCAAGCCUGAUGCAGCCAUGCCGCGUGUAUGAAGA
rnacentral:rRNA from 1 species